rnacentral:rRNA from 1 species
AUUGAACGCUGGCGGCAGGCCUAACACAUGCAAGUCGAGCGGAUGAAGGGAGCUUGCUCCUGGAUUCAGCGGCGGACGGGUGAGUAAUGCCUAGGAAUCUGCCUGGUAGUGGGGGAUAACGUCCGGAAACGGGCGCUAAUACCGCAUACGUCCUGAGGGAGAAAGUGGGGGAUCUUCGGACCCCACGCUAUCAGAUGAGCCUAGGUCGGAUUAGCUAGUUGGUGGGGUAAAGGCCUACCAAGGCGACGAUCCGUAACUGGUCUGAGAGGAUGAUCAGUCACACUGGAACUGAGACACGGUCCAGACUCCUACGGGAGGCAGCAGUGGGGAAUAUUGGACAAUGGGCGAAAGCCUGAUCCAGCCAUGCCGCGUGUGUGAAGAAGGUCUUCGGAUUGUAAAGCACUUUAAGUUGGGAGGAGGGGCGGUAAGUUAAUACCUUGCUGUUUUGACGUUACCAACAGAAUAAGCACCGGCUAACUUCGUG